rnacentral:rRNA from 1 species
CCUAAUACAUGCAUGUCGAACGAACACUUGUGCUUAGUGGCAAAUGGGUGAGUAACACGUACUUAAUCUACCCCCAAGUUCGGGAUAACAGUUGGAAACAAUUGCUAAUACCAAAUACAUAUAAGUUUUGCAUAAUUCUUAUAUAAAAGGAGCGUUUGUUUCGCUAGGGGAUGAGAGUGCGCUACAUUAGUUAGUUGGUAGGGUAAGAGCCUACCAAGACUAUGAUGUAUAGCGGGACUGAGAAGCUGAACCGCCACACUGGGACUGAGAUACGGCCCAGACUCCUACGGGAGGCAGCAGUAGGGAAUAUUCCACAAUGAGCGAAAGCUUGAUGGAGCAACACAGCGUGCAGGAAGACGACCUUAGGGUCGUAAACUGCUGUUAUGAGGGAAGAAAAAUAAAAUUAGGAAAUGAAUUUUACAUGACGGUACCUCAUCAGAAAGCACCGGCAAACUAUGUGCCAGCAGCCGCGGUAAUACAUAGGGUGCAAGCGUUAUCCGGAAUUAUUGGGCGUAAAGUGUCUGUAGGUGGUAUGUUAAGUCUAGUGUUAAAGACUAGGGCCCAACCCUAGCACGCUCUAGAUACUGACAUGCUAGAGUCAUAGAGAGGUUAGCGGAACUCCUAGUGAAGCGGUGAAAUGUGUAGAUAUUAGGAAGAACACCAAUAGCGAAGGCAGCUAACUGGAUAUGUACUGACACUCA